AACGAACGCUGGCGGCAGGCUUAACACGUGCAAGUCGAGCGCCCCGCAAGGGGAGCGGCAGACGGGUGAGUAACGCGUGGGAAUCUACCCAUCUCUACGGAAUAACGCAUGGAAACGUGUGCUAAUACCGUAUACGUCCUUCGGGAGAAAGAUUUAUCGGAGAGGGAUGAGCCCGCGUUGGAUUAGCUAGUUGGUGGGGUAAAGGCCUACCAAGGCGACGAUCCAUAGCUGGUCUGAGAGGAUGAUCAGCCACACUGGGACUGAGACACGGCCCAGACUCCUACGGGAGGCAGCAGUGGGGAAUAUUGGACAAUGGGCGCAAGCCUGAUCCAGCCAUGCCGCGUGAGUGAUGAAGGCCCUAGGGUUGUAAAGCUCUUUCACCGGUGAAGAUAAUGACGGUAACCGGAGAAGAAGCCCCGGCUAACUUCGUGCCAGCAGCCGCCGUAAGAC
rnacentral:rRNA from 1 species